GACGAACGCUGGCGGCGUGCUUAACACAUGCAAGUCGAACGGAAAGGCCCUGUUUUUGUGGCGUGCUCGACUGGCGAACGGGUAAGUAACACGUGAGUAACCUGCCCUUGACUUUGGGAUAACUUCAGGUAACUGGGGCUCAUACUGGAUCGGUGCCCCUGCUGCAUGGUGGGGGUUGGAAAGUUUCGGCGGUUGGGGACGGACUCGCGGCUUAUCAGCUUGUUGGUGGGGUAGUUGCUUACCAAGGCUUUGACGGGUGGCCGGCCUGAGAGGGAGACCGGCCGCAUUGGGAGUGAGUGAGAGACCAGACUCCUACGGGAGGCAGCAGUGGGGAGGAAUGAACGAUGGGCGGACGCCUGAUGGAGGCACGCCGGGUGCGUGAUGACUGCCUGCGGGUGGGAAGCCGAUUUCGCCUGUGCCGGAGCGUUAGUGACGGUAAUGGGUAAAGAAGCACCGGCUAACUACGUG
rnacentral:rRNA from 1 species